GACACGACAUUUCACCUGAUGUUCCAUGGGUGACCCUACUGGUGAAGUGGACCUGACCCUCCGCCAUGUAGCAGACAACCCCCCUCAGGUCCUGCGAUGUAUCUUCCCAAGUGGCGUGGAUGUGAGGAGACACGACAUUUCACCUGAUGUUCCAUGGGUGACCCUACUGGUGAAGUGGACCUGACCCUCCGCCAUGUAGCAGACAACCCCCCUCAGGUCUUCCGGUGUAUCCUUCCUAAGUGGUGUGGAUAUGAAGAGACAGUUCCCUUGAUGUUCCCUGGGCAAUCUACUUACGUACAAUUCAAAUGCAUUACAAAUUUUAAUAAAAACCACAGGAAACUUCUAUUUUUAAAAGUUUAU